CGUUGAAACACCGGUUCUCGCCCGAUCAGCAAAGUUAAGCAACGUCGAGCCUGAUCAGUAUUAAGAUGAGUGACCGCUUGGAAAUACCAAGUGCUGUAAG